UACAGAGGGGGCAAGCGUUGUUCGGAAUUACUGGGCGUAAAGGGCGCGUAGGCGGCCUUCUAAGUCGAACGUGAAAUCCCUGGGCUCAACCCAGGAACUGCGUCCGAUACUGGAAGGCUUGAAUCCGGGAGAGGGAUGCGGAAUUCCAGGUGUAGCGGUGAAAUGCGUAGAUAUAGGAAGGAAUACCAGUGGCGAAGGCGGCCUCCUGGCUCGAUACUGACGCUGAGGCGCGAAAGCGUGGGGAGCAAACAGG
rnacentral:rRNA from 1 species